rnacentral:rRNA from 1 species
UAGGGGACAGCGGCGAACGGGUGAGUAACACGUGAGUUAUCUGCCCCUGGCUUUGGGAUAGCCACCGGAAACGGUGAUUAAUACCGGGUAUGACAACUUGUUGCAUGAUGGGUUGUGGAAAGUUUUUCGGCCAGGGAUGUGCUCGCGGCCUAUCAGCUUGAUGGUGAGGUAAUGGCUCACCAUGGCUUCGACGGGUAGCCGGCCUGAGAGGGUGACCGGCCACACUGGGACUGAGACACGGCCCAGACUCCUACGGGAGGCAGCAGUGGGGAAUAUUGGACAAUGGGCGGAAGCCUGAUCCAGCAACGCCGCGUGAGGGAUGACGGCCUUCGGGUUGUAAACCUCUUUCAGCAGGGACGAAGCGCAAGUGACGGUACCUGCAGAAGAAGCACCGGCCAACUACGUGCCAGCAGCCGCGGUAAUACGUAGGGUGCGAGCGUUGUCCGGAAUUAUUGGGCGUAAAGGGCUCGUAGGCGGUUUGUCGCGUCGGGAGUGAAAACCAGGUGCUUAACACCUGGCUUGCUUUCGAUACGGGCAGACUAGAGGUAUUCAGGGGAGAACGGAAUUCCUGGUGUAGCGGUGAAAUGCGCAGAUAUCAGGAGGAACACCGGUGGCGAAGGCGGUUCUCUGGGAAUGACCUGACGCUGAGGAGCGAAAGUGUGGGGAGCGAACAGGAUUAGAUACCCUGGUAGUCCACACCGUAAACGUUGGGCGCUAGGUGUGGGGUCCAUUCCACGGAUUCCGUGCCGCAGCUAACGCAUUAAGCGCCCCGCCUGGGGAGUACGGCCGCAAGGCUAAAACUCAAAGGAAUUGACGG